ACUUCGGUAGUUCAAGGGUAGAACAGCGGUCUCCAAAACCGCCGAUGGGCGUUCGAAUCGCUCCCUUAGUG
rnacentral:tRNA from 1 species